rnacentral:rRNA from 1 species
AUGUAAAUGCCUACAACAUAGUGUUGAUGCACUAGAUCCCAUUAUAACUCUGUAGUUAAGCACACUCAGGUUGGAAUAGUAAUUGGAUGGGUGAUUGCCUGGGAAUUCCUAGUGUUUUACAUG